rnacentral:lncRNA from 10 species
CCACCCCACAUAGGAAGUUAUACAUCUUUUAUCUGUUUAUGUCCCUGGAGGCAAGCUGUAGUCAACUGCAGUGGAAUCCACAGACCUGUAUAUACAGAACCACAGGUACAAAGAUAAGAACACAACUACCAAUCACCAAACAUUUGAGGAACACUGGGAAAGUGAGGCACCAAGCUCAACAAACAAGCAAACUCAAACAGGGUAAAUAGAACAAACAGAAAAGACUCCAAAAUAGUUGUAAUUAAUACCCUCAGUGUGAUAGAAGAGGGACAUUGCAUAUUCAUAGGCAACAAGAUAGGCAAUUAGAAAAAAUGUUAUAUAAUUUUGGGUUUUUUGGUCUUUAUUUUUUGAUCGCAGAAACUGCAAAACUCAGUAAAUAACCCUAAUAUAAGAAUGGACAGAUGUAAACAUUAAUUAGAAGAUCUAGGUGAAGAAUUUUCUCAUAAUCUAACACAAUCCAGAAAUUCUCCUCUGAGGAGGGGAAGGGAGGGAGAAGAAAGGGAGGGAAGGAACGAGGGAGUGAGAGAGAUCAGAGGUAAUGGAAAGAAGAAAAGAAAGAAAGAAAAAGAGAGAAAGGAAGGAAGGAAAAAAGGGAGGGAGAAAGGAAGAGAGGCAGGAAGGGAGGAAGAAAAAGGAAGACAGAUUUCCCACAUCUAAAGAAAGACAAGAGUAUUUCAAAGAAAGGCCCCAAUGGAUAAGGGCCCCAAAGGGCCUUAAUGGGUAGGAUUUUUGAAAAGCACCCAUGAGACACAUUCAAAUUGUAUUUCACUAUCCAUGGAUAAAGAGAAAAUCCUAAAAGCAUCCAGUAAGAAAAAAAUCAUGAAACCUUCAAACAAACAAAAAUCAGAUUAACUUUGGGUUUCUCAUCAUUAGCUCUGAAUGUGAGAAGAUAAUGGAGUAAUAUCUUUGAAAUCCUGGAAGACAAUUUUGAGACUAAAAUUUUUUGAAAAGCUAGAUGAGCACAAAUUCAAUUAUUUAAGUACAAUUAAAACAUCUUUAGUCAUGCAGGUAUUCAAAGCUUUGCCACCCACAGAUUUUUUUUUCUGAAAGUAUUACUCAAGAAUAUAAUCCAGUAAGACAGAAAAUGAAUCUAAGAGAGAAAAUAUUUAGCUUACAGAAGCAAUAAUUAGCUAAGAAAUUGCUAAAGCAUAUAGUUAUGUCUAAAUAAUCACUCAUGCAUAAUGUAAAAAAAAACUAAUAUCAAUCUGGAAAUAAAAUCAAAGACCAUUUCAACUAGAUGAUAAAUAUGAAGGAUUCAGAAGUAAUUCACGGUUAUAGUGUCUUGUUAUAGUCAAUGUCCUUGUGAAUUAAAAACUAGAAAAGCAAUAUUGA